CUCGUAAUAUUGAUUACAGAGUCGUUCCAUAGAAACGAAUCUUAUUAUCCUAUUGGUUUCAUUUAUUUGAACAAGAAUCCUCACAAAAUCAUGUGCAAUGUAAUAUUGCUGCGGGUUCAAUGGUCAGUGGCCCCAGCUCACUGCGCAUCAAUACGAUCUGACCCAGAUUUGGCUAAUAUGUUGGACUUGUGGCGUAUUAAAUACAAAACGAAAGACGAUCGUUUCCUCGAACUAAAAGUAAAAAAAAGCAUAAUUCACUGGCAAUUUAACAGAAUAGAUUUUCAAAACAACAUUGGAUUAUUCCUGCAUGAAAAUGUCACGUCUAUUAUUCCGUACGAUGUAACAACCAUCAGUCCAAUUUCACCAGACGUCCGAGAUCAUGGUCACGAACAAAUGUUCUUAAUAAAUUGGGAUGUAAUAUUUAAUAAUAAAAGUGAAAAGCGUAAUGUUACUGCUGUAUACCUCGUGACAUCUGAAAAAUGUUUGGAUCAUGUUUCACAAAUAAUCGACGAAAAAAGACAGUAUGAAUUUUGUGCAAAGCCUACUCAUGGUAUUGGCUAUAAGCUUGAUCACGGAGCAGCAUUUGUUGUAAAUUCAAAGAUAAUUGGUUUUCUUUCCUGGGGUGAUAGACUUGGAAAUGGGACACCCUUUAUUGUCAUCGGUCUGAGUUCAUUUCAAACGUGGCUCGAAAAUGCAAUGAUUUUCUAAAGUACUUCAUAAUUUCGUAUUAGGCAAAUAUUAAAAUGACGAAUGAAUACAGUUUAUGCAAAUAAAAUAAAGUUUAAUAGUA